rnacentral:rRNA from 1 species
GGAUGAAGGGAGCUUGCUCCUGGAUUCAGCGGCGGACGGGUGAGUAAUGCCUAGGAAUCUGCCUGGUAGUGGGGGAUAACGUCCGGAAACGGGCGCUAAUACCGCAUACGUCCUGAGGGAGAAAGUGGGGGAUCUUCGGACCUCACGCUAUCAGAUGAGCCUAGGUCGGAUUAGCUAGUUGGUGGGGUAAAGGCCUACCAAGGCGACGAUCCGUAACUGGUCUGAGAGGAUGAUCAGUCACACUGGAACUGAGACACGGUCCAGACUCCUACGGGAGGCAGCAGUGGGGAAUAUUGGACAAUGGGCGAAAGCCUGAUCCAGCCAUGCCGCGUGUGUGAAGAAGGUCUUCGGAUUGUAAAGCACUUUAAGUUGGGAGGAAGGGCAAGUAAGUUAAUACCUUGCUGUUUUGACGUUACCAACAGAAUAAGCACCGGCUAACUUCGUGCCAGCAGCCGCGGUAAUACGAAGGGUGCAAGCGUUAAUCGGAAUUACUGGGCGUAAAGCGCGCGUAGGUGGUUCAGCAAGUUGGAUGUGAAAUCCCCGGGCUCAACCUGGGAACUGCAUCCAAAACUACUGAGCUAGAGUACGGUAGAGGGUGGUGGAAUUUCCUGUGUAGCGGUGAAAUGCGUAGAUAUAGGAAGGAACACCAGUGGCGAAGGCGACCACCUGGACUGAUACUGACGACUGAGGUGCGAAAGCGGGGGAGGGAAAC